rnacentral:rRNA from 1 species
GACGAACGCUGGCGGCGUGCUUAACACAUGCAAGUCGAACGAAGAGCGAUGGAAGCUUGCUUCUAUCAAUCUUAGUGGCGAACGGGUGAGUAACGCGUAAUCAACCUGCCCUUCAGAGGGGGACAACAGUUGGAAACGACUGCUAAUACCGCAUACGAUCUAAUCUCGGCAUCGAGGAUAGAUGAAAGGUGGCCUCUACAUGUAAGCUAUCACUGAAGGAGGGGAUUGCGUCUGAUUAGCUAGUUGGAGGGGUAACGGCCCACCAAGGCGAUGAUCAGUAGCCGGUCUGAGAGUAUGAACGGCCACAUUGGGACUGAGACACGGCCCAGACUCCUACGGGAGGCAGCAGUGGGGAAUCUUCCGCAAUGGACGAAAGUCUGACGGAGCAACGCCGCGUGAGUGAUGACGGCCUUCGGGCUGUAAAGCUCUGUUAAUCGGGACGAAAGGCCUUCUUGCGAAUAGUGAGAAGGAUUGACGGUACCGGAAUAGAAAGCCACGGCUAACUACGUG